GAGGCAGUUGCUGAAGGAGAGAACAGGUGGAGGCCAUCUGACAGUGACAUUCCUCAAAGCUGGGCAGCACAUUCUUCCUUGAAGGGGUCUGUCUGACACACCUCCGUAUCUGCCACAUGGGAAUAGGAGUGUAAAAGACUGGAUCCUUCCAACAAUAUUAGUCACAGUGUAUAAACCUUGGAAAGCAUUAUUUUAUCAUCUUUUGGAAGAAUGGAGUUCUCACAGCAGGCUUAAAGCAGUAGAGACUUCCAAAGGGGGUCAUGGUGGAAAAAAGGAAGAGAGUCGACUAUCAUCCUCCAAUAAUGCCGGUAAAAAAACUUGUCAGAUCCUCACACGAAAGGGACCUUCUAAGAACAAGAUGCAAGUAGAAUCAUCAGAGUGACGGCUUUUCAAACUUUAAAUUAUUUAUGGGUUAUGUACUCGGAUCCUGGGCAGGCUGGUGUCAAGAGAGCUUCAUCCAGAAAAGAAUAAAAAUUUCCUGAUUUUACUGAUGGAAAGAUGAACUGAGGGAGCAAGAAAAUUAUACAGAGAAUUUUACAGACCCAAAGGCUGAGAGAAAUGUAGGGCUGCUGGGUUUCCUACAUCAAUCUGGAAUAACUGCACUGAGAUGUUGGGAAUUCAUCCAUGCAAAAUUACUUGAGUAGAAAAAUUAUUUUCUACUACAAACCCACAAAAUAGAGGAUCAAUAAACUGCCAGGAGAUAGAAAACACUGAGUAAUCACGUGUAUCAAACUGAAGAGCUGUUGCUGCUGUAUACUUCGGAGACUCUGCUGUAUGUCUAAUUAAGCAACUGAAAUGAUUUUUGGACUAUAACAUGUACUUUAAAAGUGGAAUUUGAAGGGCAACUCUGUCUUUUCUAGGUUUAACCUGUGCAAGUAUGAAUCUUGAGUCACCAGUGGUGAGACUCAGCAAAAUCUCUAGGUAAUGAUUCAACUGGGUUAGGACAAGGCUGAACCGAUCACGGAUUCGUUUAGCAAAACAUGCAGAAUCGUCAAGCUCUCUUAACCUUGUUGGGGAUUUAGGAGGUAUUUUUGUUUUUGUUUGUUUGUUCUCAUCUUGUUUUUGUUUUGCAUGCUACCACCUGCAGCUGUUAGAGCAGUGAAUAGAACCAAAAUUGGGGAGUUUAGCUUCUAGCGCAGGGUGUGCUGGUGGUAGAUAAGCAAUAAAUAAAAUGAAUAAGUAAAUUUGAAUCAGUUGAUAUUUAGAGUGCAAUUAGGUACCAUGGAUAAAAAUCAUGCUAUGAAAGAUGUAUAGGGAAAAGGGAGGGAGGAGAAGGGAAAUUUGAAGUCAGUAGAAGAGGGAAGGCCUUGAUGUGAAGGGGACAUUUGAACAAAGACUUGAAAAAGGCAGGAGCAUGCGGUGUGAGUAUCUUGGAAAUGAUUGCUGCAGGCAGAGGAAACAGCAAAUGCAAAGGCCCUGCAUCACUCAGAGCAGGAGAUCGAUGACACAAUCAAAUUGGAUAUUGUGAAGAGAGUUUUUAAAAGUGUUAAUUAUAAACCUGUGAGCAGGUUAUAGGGAAAUGACAAGGGGCAGUAUAGUAUUUAGGAGACGAAGACAGUGGGGUGCUAUCAUCAUCACUAAGCCUGCCUGAGUGGCAGGAAAGUAGCUAUUAGAAUUUAGAGUAAGAGACAGCUGUGUUGAGAGUCUGCCCACCAGGAGCUGUGACCCUUAGGCCGAGGAUGUGGCAUCUGCAUAAACACUGCAGGAAAGAAGCACUGGAGUAAAGACCCACUGACCCCACUCUUGUCCCUUCCUUACAUCUUCAUCUGAGCUCCCCAUUGGACGAAACCGACCUGGAAGCAGAGGUCCGGGGAGAGAAUUGAGAUGGGUCAUAGAGUUUAUCCUUCCAGGGCAUAAAACAGGCUUGAGAAGGGUGGAGAGUGUCUGUGCCUGGAAGGGCAAACAAAAGGCAUCUGGCACAGCUCUAAGCUGAGAUCAUGGCUGAUGUGAAGAGGAGUAGCAAGGCUGUCACUGUGAUUAUAGAGGAAGGAUUGAGGAGGGGAAUAUCAGGAGAUGAGUUCAGACAAAUUGCAGAGUAGAGUUUCAUGGGCAUUGUCAGGCAUUGAGAAGUCCUUAGCUAUCACUGUGAGUCAAAUAGAGAGCUGUGGAAGAGUUCUGUGUGAGGCGAUGAUGUGAGCAGACAUCACUUAAAAGUAUCUCCCUGGCUGCUGAGUUAAGAACAGACUGACGUGGGGCAAGGGUGGAAUCAUGAGACCAAGGAGGAUGCUUUUGCCUAAUUUGGGCGAGAGAGAGUGGUUUGAACAGAUGGAUGCAGUGGAGGUUGUAAGAAUGGAGAGGUUUCUGAAUACAUUUUAAAAGUAGAGCCAAUCAGAUUUGCUGAUAGAUUGAAUUGGAGGGAGGUGUGUGAGGGAAAGAGAGGAGUCAAGGAAUCGAGGAUGACUCUGAAUUGGAAGCAUGGAGUUGCCAUGGAUUGAUUUGAGAACACUGCGGAAGGAGUGCAGUUAUUGAGGAAAACUCAAACAUUGGUUUUGGAUAUGUUGAGCUUGAGAUGUCUCUUGGGAUGUGAGGAAUAGGCAGUUGGCUUUAUGAGUCUUGACUUUAAAAGAGAGAUUAUAGUGAAUUCUUAUAAUUUUAUGAUGCCUCGGCAUCAAUUUUGAGUGUAAGUUGGACCUUCAUAUGCCAACAACAGGGCUUUGUCACCUGUGACACAGUUUACAGUUCUCUGCCUUCUCCUAGUCUCUCACUGUCAUCAAUACAGCCACCUCCUGGUAACCACCUCCCUAUGGGAGAGCUAGAUACAACCUCCUUGACUCACCACACUAUUUUCCUAUUUAUGAAACAGGGUGGAUCUCUUUUUCCUCUGUCUUCUCAAACAUACACUCUUUCAAAACCCUCUGUGGCCUAACCUUUCUCUGGCGAUACAAGUCAUGCUUGGUUUAACCCCCAAGCCCAGCAUAGACAGUGUGGCUAUGCCACAGUGAUCACCUCUCAGUCACAGUGUACCUCCAUGGAACUCAUGCCUGCUUGCUCAAACCUAUCAAUUAGAAAUCCCCUUGGUAAACCUGCUUGGGGAAUGCCCUGGACUUCGGUAAAGGCAUUGGCUCACAGGUCCUUUUCUCUCUCUCUCUUGCCGCCCACUCACUGGUUGAGUGUGUAUGUCCUGGAUGACUACCCCCUUCCCAUUGGCCCUGAGAGGCAUGCUGCCCUCUUCAUUCUGGGAUCUGUAAUUAAUAAACUGUUUCUGCAUUUCAUGAGUUUUGUUGUGUUGCAUCCUCUGUGUCUCACCUAACUAACACACUUGAAUCUAACUUCUUUCCUAGUCAGGGGUCUCUUAGAGAGCAGUGAUCUUAGUAGGAAUAAACUGAUAUAGGUCAGACAAAAGCCACAAGGGCAUCUUGCAGUAUAAACAGGUUUCCUGUGAAAGAGACACCUGGUAGCAAGUCAGACACUCAGGCAUUAGGUCAUCCACUGGGAUAAAGAAGUAUCACGGGUGUGGUGGCUCAUGCCUGCAAUCCCAGCACUUUUGGAGGCCAAAACGAGUGGAUCACCUGAUGUCAGGAGUUCGACACCAGCCUGGCCAACAUGGCAAAGCCCCAUCUCUACCAAAAAUACAAAAAUUAGCUGGGUGUGGUGGCGGGUGCCUGUAGUCCCAGCUACUCAGGAGGCUGAGGCAGGAGAAUGGCUUGAACUUGGGAGGUUGAGGUUGCAGUGAGCUGACAUCACAGCACUGCACUGCAGCCCAGGCAACUAAGACCCCGUCCCAAAAAACAAAACAAAACAAAUGAAACAACAACAACAACAACAACAACAAAGGAAGUAUCAAGUGAAAGGCACAUUGUAAACAUCCACGACCCCCUUCCCUGGAGCCCUGUGAGGGCAGGGCUAGAAUUUAUAGACACACUCCAGAGAGAGAGAGAGAGAGAGAGAGAGAGAGAGAGAGAGAGAGAGACCUCAAGAGCAAAUCAGAGGAAAU
rnacentral:lncRNA from 1 species